rnacentral:lncRNA from 1 species
CGCUGGAGAAGCGCACGUUUGUCUGUAUUACGUAUUUAUACUGUAUCCUCAUCAAUGCCGUAAGUAAGCAAUUUUUACAAGGGUUGUGGAGGGAGCUAAAUUUGACCUUGAUCUAAAUUUGGUUCCUAUACAUAUACCUAAUUAGAAGCCGGUUUGUGUAGUGAAAAAAUGUUUUAUCGCCGGUUGCAUGCGUAUACGAAUGGAAAUGCUAUUUUUUUGUCAGCUGUUUGACUUUCUAGCUAUAUAUACGCCUGAACCGACAUCUUGUCCAAAGGUCAUAGGUAAAAUAUAGAGCGGCGAAGUUUUUUAUUGAGGAAGUUGUCUCAAUUCUGGAUGGCGUUGUCGGCGUAUGUAUAUGACUAUUUGACUAAGACAUCUACCCUCAAUCCUUUUUUUUAUUGUUAUUGAGAAGUAGAGAUAGUAAACAAUAGGAAUGGGCUCUAGUUAGUGUUGGAUCGGUCUAAAAAAAACCGCAUAUCAGAGCAGUCCUUAUGGAUCUUUUCUGGUAUCUACAACUGCUUAAAUGAAGUUGAAGUUUUAUCAUAACCUCUUUCAAAGAGACAAAAUAUCUGAAGUUUGAAAUAGGAGGUGUGUGGCUAGAACCAAUGAGUUAUAACUUAUAAGUUAUAAUACUAUCUGGAGGAAGUACAAGCUCCAAUCACGCAACCUGUUGUGAAAAACAUUCCUUCUUUUUUCUUGAGAAAUUCUACUUUGUUAACUCAUUUGAGCUUUGUACAAUUAUAAGGCUAUAAUAUUUGUCUUAGCUGUAAUUUUAUACUGUUUUAUUAAAUUUUAUACAGUAUAAGAACUUAUUGUUUUUAUCAAGGACUACUAGAAGAAAAGGACUAGAGACAGAUUCAUUCCCAUUUUUGUUCUUGUGAAGUUAUAUUUUACUGAUGGAAUUGUGUAUGUUUUUUGGACCUUGGGAAACUCGUAUAUUAUUGUUCUUAGCCUAAAAUGCUGGAGAAGACUACACGUAGGAAGACUGGAAAGCUUAGUCGAUUCCUCUAUCUUAAUUUCACCUUGAAAUGAGGAUGGGAUUCUUCUUCAAACUCCUACUCCACUGCUCAUCGGGAACUCAUAUCCAUGAAUAAAUCUCUUAAUAUAAGCCUUAGUCUCUGUUAAGUUAUCAUACUCAUUCUGGAUUAUGUACAUGAAAUGCUGAAACCGAACUUGGUCGUUGAUUCCGUGGAGCAACAGGUUGGAUAUGCUGCAAUUAAUGCUAGGAAUAUUUU